GGGACAAAUGCCACCACUCAUAGGCUUGAAGGCGCAAGUCCAAACUUCAAGGCACCUUCACUCUCUUCAACCCGAACCGCUUCCAAACCUCCGAAAUCCACUCUCAAAUUCCUCUGUAGCUACGGCGGCAAAAUUCUCCUUCGUUACCCCGAUGGCAAGCUCCGUUACCUCGGCGGCCAUACCUGCGUCCUCGCCGUCGAUCGCUCCAUUCCAUUCUCCGAGCUAUUGCUGAAGCUAGAGGAGCUCUGCGGUGCCUCUGUGAGGCACCUCCGCUGCCAAUUACCUUCUGAAGACCUCGAUGCUCUUGUCUCCAUCACCUCCGACGAGGAUCUCACAAAACCUCAUCGAGGAAUACGAUCGCGUUUCAUUGCCGAAAUUACCACAGACAUGAUGCAGCCAGGGCUGAGAAUGCUUUGACUCUUCUUUAUGGCAAUGAGCCAAUUGGCAUGCAAAGAGACUGGAAUGAAGAGCUGCAGUCUUGUAGAGAAUUUCCUCGUACAUCUCCUCAGAAGAGGAUUUUGCGGGAUAGGGCACUUUAUAAAGUGACAUCAGACUUUGUUGAUGCAGCUAUUAAUGGUGCUAUUGGAGUGAUCAGUGGUUGCAUUCCUCCGAUAAACCUGACUGACCCUGAAUGCUUUCACAUGUAUGUGCACAACAAUAUAUUCUUUAGUUUUGCUAUUGAUGCUGACCUUGAGAAGCUGUCAAAGAAACUUGUGGAUGCUAAUUCAAAAUCUUGGAGCUCCAACUCUUUGCAAAGUUCUUCUGAUAAAGAUUCCAUUCCAGUUCAUGGAGAAAGUCAGGUUCCUAAUGGGGGUAAAGAUGAUGGUUCAAGUUCUGAAGAUCUUAAUAGCACAGAAAUUAGCGAACUUUAAAAUGUUUCAUUUUAACGUAAAAUAUUAUUAUAUGGUGAGAAAAAAGAAUUAGGACAUUCUGAAAUGUGUUAAGUUGGUUUUAAAACAUGGCAAGUCUUUUAAAUUUCUUAUUUCUAUUAGCUUAUAGGAUGAACAUAUGUUGUAUAUUAUUUUUCUUCAGUUAUUUUCUUUAUUAUUAUAUGAACUGAUUUUAUAUUCAUUUCAGUACAUAAAUAUAUUUUCAAUAUCUUUUAUAAGUGCUCCUUUUAUAAGUGCUCCUUUUUAUAUUCACAAGUUGUUAGAGAACUAAUGUAUUCUUUUACUUCAAUUUGAUUAUAAUAUUUUUUUAUUAAUUACUAUUUUUCUCUGUUUUUUAACUCUAGAGUACGUACGGAUUUUAUGCAUUAAUUCUUCAGUGUAAACUUAUUAAAAGACUUUCAAUGAAAAAUAAGUAGCCAUAUAUAUUAAGAUUGUGUGAUUUCUAUGAUAUUAAUUAAUUAGGUAAAAGGAAAAUGGGUGUAGAUAUUUUCAACUCUUAAAAAGCUUCACGAAUCUCACAGCUAUUGGUGCAGCAGUUUUCGCAUAUUGAGGUAGAGAACCACUUCAAGAAGGUUCAUUUGCUACUCCAAAUGCAUUUGUACCUGCUUGGAAAAAUUCUGGAGACCCAAGAAGGAAGUAUAUAUGCCUUUGGUUAAGUGAAGGCUCUGCCAAAACUCUCCUCAGCCAUCUCCAGGAUCUUAUUUAACAGGAAGAUGAUGGACUUUUCUCAUGUCUUUUAUUUCCUUUUGGUGGUUCUUUGGCCAGAAUGUGGUUGGCAGCCAGUGUCUCUGACAGAUAUGAUUACCUCUUCUGCAGUUAAAAAAGUGUAUA